UACGUAGGGUGCGAGCGUUAAUCGGAAUUACUGGGCGUAAAGCGUGCGUAGGCGGUUCGUUAAGUUCGUUGUGAAAGCCCCGGGCUCAACCUGGGAAUUGCAUUCGAUACUGGAUAGCUAGAGUUCGGCAGAGGGAAGCGGAAUUUCCGGUGUAGCGGUGAAAUGCGUAGAUAUCGGAAGGAACAUCAGUGGCGAAAGCGGCUUCCUGGACCAGAACUGACGAUCAGGCUCGAAAGCGUGGGGAGCAAACAGG
rnacentral:rRNA from 1 species